GCGAGCGUAGUCUAGUGGUUAUGAUGUCUGCUUUACACUCUAAGUAGAGCGCAGAAGGUCCCGCGUUCGACCCGCGGCGUUCGUA